AAUAAAUAACAUAGAUUAUGGGCGGCACUAGUAUUUAACAAAAAAGAAAAAUGAGAGGAAUCAAUCACAUAAUUUCCAACAAAUCAUACCAUAAUCACGGAAUAUAAAAUCAGUUAUUUAAGGGAAAAGUUGAUAUCAUAAAACCAAGCUAAUCAAGCACAUAAAUUCUACCAUAAUUACGGGGUGUAAAAUCAGAAAUCGAUGCCCUAAUAUCAAACCAAUGAAGCUACCGAAUGUUAUCAGUCAAGCAAAUAGGAGAGCGACCCUUUAAGCAAAGGGAUACAGAGAGGAAAGGAGAGAUGAGAGCACAGAGAGAAAAGGGAUACGAUUGAUUU
rnacentral:lncRNA from 1 species